UUGAUGGUAAAAUUUAUUUUUAUUUAUGUUGAUUUUAUUUGAUUAGGUAAAGGAUUAUUUGGUUUUUGUAUUGGGUUGAGAUAAAAUUAUUUAUAUUAUAGUUUAGUUGUACUGUGAAGGUUAAUAUUUUGUAAUAUCUUUGGAAGUUGAUUUUGUUUUUCGUACCUUGUGUAUCAGGGUUUAUUAAUUAUUUAGAUUUAUUUUUAUUUUCCCGAUUUCAAAGGGGCUAAUAAUUUAUUUUGUUUAUUGUGGAAUAAAUAUCGAUAAUAGGUUGUUAGUGAUGAGAUGUUAUUCGUCUUUGAGGGUCUCUGGUUUUCCAAGAAAUGAAUUUAAUUCAUGUGCGUUGUUUAGUCGAUCUUUAUUUUACGGUUUUCUUUAUUUGGCACUAGUGUUUUGGGGGAUUAGCUUCAUAACAUAAUUUUAUAAUAUUGUUCUUAUUAAUUUUUGUGGGUUUUAUGGUAACUAUCAUUUUAAGUGUGUUAUAACUUUAUUUAGUUUUUGGUUUGAUUUAUGUUGAAUUUAAGUUUUAUAUUGGAAUAUUUAUUAUAAUUAUUUAUUUUUCGUAAUAAUGGUGGAAUUAGUAAAUUAAAUUUUUAAAAAUUAAUGAGAAACCAGUUAGGUUUAUUUAGGGAACUAGGCAAAAUUUUUGUGCCCGCCUGUUUAACAAAAACAUCUCUUCUUGGAAUUAAUUUGAAGUAUUACCUGCCCGCUGGGGUUUUUGAAGGGCCGCGGUAUAUUGACCGUGCAAAGGUAGCAUAAUCAUUAGUCUUUUAAUUGAGGGCUGGAAUGAAUGGUUUGACGAGGCACAUACUGUCCCUUUGAAAUGUUAUUGAAUUUGGUUUUUAAGUUAAAACACUUAAAUGUUUUUAUGGGACGAGAAGACCCUAUAGAGUUUUACCGGUAUAUAAUUGUUUAUGUUUGUUGAUUUUGAAGAUAAAUUAUUUUCUGGUUUGGUUGGGGUGAUUAGAGGAUAUAAUAAACUCCUCUUUAUUGGUGAUAUAUUUAUUUAUAUUUAAAUGAUCCAUUUAUUUUGAUUAUAAGAUUAAAUUACCUUAGGGAUAACAGCGUAAUUUCCUUUGAGAGUUCUUAUCGACAAGGGAGUUUGCGACCUCGAUGUUGGAUUAAGAUAAAUUUUUGGUGUAGGUGCUAAAAAGGUAGGUCUGUUCGACCUUUAAAAUCUUACAUGAUCUGAGUUCAGACCGGCGUGAGCCAGGUCGGUUUCUAUCUAUGAUUUAUUUUAACAUCUUAGUACGAAAGGACCAGAUGUUAAAAAUAAUUUUUGUUAUUUGAUUGAUAGUAAA
rnacentral:rRNA from 1 species